UCUAGAGCUCUGUGGGAGGGAACUGGGCAAUAAUCCCAGUUAGUUUUCUUGCUUCCUCAACAAUAUCUCCUCCUCCCUAUGUUAAUGGCUUGUCACAGCACAAGAUACUGACCCUGGACUGGAAAGAAUGCUUGAUUCAAGGCACAGGAAGAGAGAAAAAUUGAGAGGGUAGGGAGAGACAGAGAGGGAUAGAGAAAGACAGAUGACUGCAGACCUGCUUCACCAUUGAUGAAGAUCCCCGCUGCAGGUGGAGAGUGGGGGUUUGAACCUGGUCCUUGCUCAUGGGGUGGUGAGAGCUGGAUAACAAGGCUGCAUUUGGAGUUCAGCAGGGAGGUCAGUGUGUUCUCAGGAUGCUGGGGGCCCAGGACUUACAGUCCCUCACCCCAUGCAAGCCCAGCUCAGUCUGCUCAGAUGGCUCCAUUAUAGU